rnacentral:rRNA from 1 species
UACGUAGGGGGCAAGCGUUGUCCGGAAUCAUUGGGCGUAAAGAGCGUGUAGGCGGUCCGGUAAGUCGGCUGUGAAAGUCCAAGGCUCAACCUUGGGAUGCCGGUCGAUACUGCCGGACUAGAGUUCGGAAGAGGCGAGUGGAAUUCCCGGUGUAGCGGUGAAAUGCGCAGAUAUCGGGAGGAACACCGGUGGCGAAGGCGGUUCUCUGGGCCUUACCUGACGCUGAGGAGCGAAAGCGUGGGGAGCGAACAGG